AAAAAAAAAAAAAAAAAAAAAACCCAGGCAGGAUAAACAUAAACAACCAACUUGGGUAUAUCAUAAUGAUACUGACAGCCGAAGAUGAACUGAAGAAUCUUUGGAACAGCCAGAGGAGGUUGGAGAAAAAGACACAUUUCAUUCGGGUGAACAACAAGAGGAACGAAUGCAGGAGUUCCCAUCAUGGCUCAGUGGAAACGAAUCUGACUAGGAUCCAUGAGCACAGGGGUUCGAUCCCUGGCCUCGCUCAGUGGGUUAAGGAUCCAGUAUUGUGACUGCUGUGGUGCUGGUUCAAUCCCUGGCCUGGGAACUUCUGAAUGCCGUGGGAGGAAAAGGAUGGUAUUGCAGAAAAUACAGACCUACGGAGGAAUGAAGACUGCCAAACAUGGACAGGAAAUAGAACCUUUGCCUAGAUCCAGGCAGCGGGAACCUUGUAGGCCUCACGAUGGUGUUUGUAAAGAUGAACCUUGUGCAUGACGAGCAGUCACCUGGAUUCGCCCUCAGACGGCACGGGUCAGCCAGCUGCCCGGGACCCGCCGCAGCGAACCGCUUCCGCAGAGCGCGUUACCCGUGUCGGAACGUGAACAGUGGUUGGGAAACAUCAUUCCGGAGGGAGAUGCUGUGUGGCCAGAGGACACGGGAUCAGUAAAGCUGUUGAAAAGGUGGCG
rnacentral:lncRNA from 1 species